UACGAAGGGGGCUAGCGUUGCUCGGAAUCACUGGGCGUAAAGGGUGCGUAGGCGGGUUUUAAGUCAGGGGUGAAAUCCUGGAGCUCAACUCCAGAACUGCCUUUGAUACUGAGAAUCUUGAGUACGGGAGAGGUGAGUGGAACUGCGAGUGUAGAGGUGAAAUUCGUAGAUAUUCGCAAGAACACCAGUGGCGAAGGCGGCUCGCUGGGACGUGACUGACGCUGAGACGCGAAAGCGUGGGGAGCAAACAGG
rnacentral:rRNA from 1 species